UACGGGGGGGGGUAAGCGUUGUUCGGAAUUACUGGGCGUAAAGGGCGCGUAGGCGGCCGCCUAAGUCAGACGUGAAAUCCCUCGGCUCAACCGGGGAACUGCGUCUGAUACUGGGUGGCUUGAAUCCGGGAGAGGGAUGCGGAAUUCCAGGUGUAGCGGUGAAAUGCGCAGAUAUCGGGAAGAACACCCGUGGCGAAGGCGGCUCUCUGGGACGGUACUGACGCUGAGACGCGAAAGCGUGGGGAGCGAACAGG
rnacentral:rRNA from 1 species